rnacentral:rRNA from 1 species
UACGGAGGAUGCGAGCGUUAUCCGGAUUUAUUGGGUUUAAAGGGUGCGCAGGCGGUCUGUUAAGUCAGCGGUCAAAGCCCGGGGCUCAACCCCGGCCCGCCGUUGAAACUGGCAGUCUCGAGUUGGAGAGAAGUAUGCGGAAUGCGCGGUGUAGCGGUGAAAUGCAUAGAUAUCGCGCAGAACUCCGAUUGCGAAGGCAGCUUACCAGUCUGCGACUGACGCUCAGGCACGAAAGUGUGGGUAUCGAACAGG